rnacentral:rRNA from 1 species
UAGGGAAUAUUGGUCAAUGGAGGCAACUCUGAACCAGCCAUGCCGCGUGCAGGAAGAAGGCCUUCUGGGUUGUAAACUGCUUUUAUAUGGGAGCAAUAGUUGGAUGCGUCCGAUGAUGAGAGUACCAUGUGAAUAAGCACCGGCUAACUCCGUGCCAGCAGCCGCGGUAAUACGGAGGGUGCAAGCGUUGUCCGGAUUUAUUGGGUUUAAAGGGUGCGUAGGCGGCUAUAUAAGUCAGUGGUGAAAUCCAGCAGCUUAACUGUUGAACUGCCAUUGAUACUGUAUAGCUUGAGUACAGAUGAGGUAGGCGGAAUUGAAGGUGUAGCGGUGAAAUGCAUAGAUAUCUUCAAGAACACCGAUUGCGAAGGCAGCUUACUGGGCUGUAACUGACGCUGAGGCA